rnacentral:lncRNA from 1 species
ACUGUUAACCCAAGGGCCACUCGGACUCCGCCAGGGACCAGUUGCUGAGGCCAAGGCCACCGCGCUGGGAACUGAACCCGUAGGUACAAUCACCGCCAUGUUGACCACCUCCUGCGACCCCUCGACCCGCUGCAGCAGGAUCGGCUUGCGGGUCAGUGGCUGGGGCUGGAUCUCCGCCGCCAUCGGAGGGGGCGCGCCCGGGGAGCAGCCGAACGCGCCGGGGGACUUGGCUGAAGAGAACGCUAAGGCUUGCGCUCAGGAUCGGGCUGCGAAGCGGAGCGGGCCUUUGGGAGCCAGCGACCAUAGCCCUGCCGCCUGUCCAGGGAAUGUGCCCGCUCUGGCUUCCAGAACCAACACCGCCGCCACACUAGCCGCAAGCCGGCGCCACCUAAGAGAGUAGGGGGCGGGGAGCAGGGGGCGGGGCGGGGCGGGGCCCUGUCGCAAGGAGGCCAACCCACUUCCGGAGGAUGGGCACUAGCAGCCAAUGCGCGUGCGUCAGUCCAGCAGCCACUUCCGCCCCGCCGCCCAUAAGUAACAGAGGCCCGCAGUGCUGUCAGGACGCAUGCGCCCCGCAGUCCUUUACUUUCCCUUCCACACCCAAAGCUUUGUCCCCUCCCUCAUAAAAAAAAUAAAUAAAUCUGUGAAUGCGCGUGCCCAGAGCCCCACCCUCUCCAGACUCUGGGGGCGGGGAAAAGCCUGCGUCAGCCGCACCGGAAAAGCGCCUGCAGGAAGGAUAGAGGCUAAACUAGUUGGGACGUGAGUGUGCAUGCGCGCAGAUGACUCACCGCUAAGUUUUAACAAUAACACACCGGAGAGGGCGCUGUGCUGUCGGCCGUAGAGAAGCGGCUCUUGCCAGCACCGCAUGGACUCUUGGGGGUUGUAGUUUCCUCCAUCCUCGACGUCCUUGUUCUAGAAAGCAGUAACGCCCACUUCUCAGCCCAGGAGAGAUGUGGGCAAACGAAACUCUGCGCCUUCUGUGGGUUAUUGCCCAAGUCAGAGGCAGAAAUAGUGUAGUAUCUAAGAGGGAGAACUAAAGAGCAAGCCCUGCUGAACAAGACUUCUCUCGGGGUCACACUGCCACCGGUUUUAGUGAAAUAUGAGGGUAGAAGAAGAAGAGACUCUCAUACAAGCUUCUUUGAGGGAGUUUAGAGAUCAUGGUAUCAAUCUUCUCUUUGUAUUAUGAAUAAAGGACUCACACUUG